rnacentral:tRNA from 1 species
CGCCGAGUAGAGCAACGGCAGCUCGCAGGGCUCAUACCCCUUGAGGUAGCGGGUUCGACUCCCGCCUCGGCAA